rnacentral:rRNA from 1 species
UACGGGGGGGGCAAGCGUUGUUCGGAAUUACUGGGCGUAAAGGGCUUGUAGGUGGCCAACUAAGUCAGACGUGAAAUCCCUCGGCUUAACCGGGGAACUGCGUCUGAUACUGGAUGGCUUGAGCGUGGGAGAGGGAUGCGGAAUUCCAGGUGUAGCGGUGAAAUGCGUAGAUAUCUGGAGGAACACCGGUGGCGAAGGCGGCAUCCUGGACCGGCAUUGACGCUGAGGCGCGAAAGCCAGGGGAGCAAACGGG